UUUAGUUUUGCCCUUUGACAAUAAAACUCCACAUAGCCGUUUUGUUUUCUUUAACACAUUACACACCCCACGUUCUGAGCGAGUCUUCUCUCAAAGGUCAGAGGCUCAGAGCUUCCUCCCAAUGUAAAAUUCCCAACCUUUCUUCUCCUAAUAAUUCUCCAUUCAUCCUCUGACCCUCCAAAGCAUACAAGCAUACUAUCAAUAACCUGUCAGUGAUACCAUUUCAAGCGAGCGUGUUGACGAGUGACUUUCGGUUCUCACAAUGGUUCAAACAAUGUCAACAAAUUAGGUUCGUUUAUAUUUUGCCCUUUACUACAAUAUGAAUGUGUUUUAUGAGUACCGUUAUGGUUCUAAUGCAAUGAACGAUACUCGAAAUUCCAUCUUUGGAUAUGAUUUUGUACUUUUUUUAUUUCCUCUGGUGUGCCUGUAUGGUGGCGCUCCACUGUUUUCUUUUUCUCUUUGCUGAUUGAUGUACUAAAAUGGGAAGAGGAGCUAAUCAAGGAAAAUGCAUUUCCUGGGAAUGUUAAAUUUUUAGAGGACAAGUAUGAUAAUGUGCAGAAAAAAUUAGAGGAGUAAGAAUGGAGAUAUGAAUAGUAUGAAGAAGAGUGUAAUUUGAAAAGGAGAGUAAUCUUCUAUUUUUUUCCUUUUGUAUUUGCUGAAAAUAUUGCUGAAGCUAUUAAAAAUUAUGUGUUGAAUAGGGGAGAAAAUAAAGAGAAAAACGUAAGAAGAUUUCUGAUGAUAGGCGAAGGGAAUGGACUUGGUUGCAAUUUAUAUCUCUUCUUGAUUUUGGUUCUUCAAGUGGCAACAGUUCGAGCAAAAUGGUCAGGUAGCUCAUUUUUCUUUUUCUUCCUGCAGUUUCUUGGCUUACCAACUACAGAUUUGUUGCUUAAUCUUGGUUUGUACUGAAGUCAUAGCAGUGGCCAAGGUUUUUACUUUUUAAUCCUUAAAAAUCCAAGAAGAAAGGUUUAAAAAUUGGGUGUGCGUAUUUCUUGUGCAACUCUAUGAAUUAUUAGCGUAAUUCGACUUUGACUUAUCACUAAAUGUGUACUGUGACUGUCUUUGUUAUCGGAAGUCCACAAUUCUUUGGUUGGAUUGCCACCAUUUGUCGUUUUAGUCUUUUCUUGGUCGUAUUCAAGUGCAAUGAGAAGGUUCAACUUAAUCAAUGUUAGAAGGAAAAAAAAGACAUGUGGGCACAUCACAAAUUGCAUAAAAAGGGUAUGGUGGUGUCAAAACAUUUAUAAUGAUCAUUUUCUUAAGACUCAAACUUUUCUACCCAAUAUAUUUUACUGACUAAAAAGAGUUCCUUACAGCAGAGGAGCAUUCUACUGUGACAGUAUAAAAAGGCCAAUAGUUCAACAAAGAAGCAAACAAGGACAAUUUACUCUAAUUAAUUAGUGUAAAAAAUAUGGGUAUAUAACCGUUUAUACUUUAUUUAUAAUUAAAUGACAUAUUCUUUUACUUUAAUUCUUUUUUCUACUCUUUGUACUUGCAUUCCUAAAUAUACAAUUGAAAAUGAAAUUCCAUUGCAGAUAGUUAACUCUUUGGGAAUUUUUCGGAAAGUUUUCGCUCUAAAGGUUUUCUCCCGUCCAUCUUUAGUAUUUUUCUAUUGGUUCAUUAUUUUUUCCCCCUGAAUUUGAAUUUCUUUUUAAUUAGAAUGUGCGAUGGUGAGAUCGAUCUCUGCUCCCUAUUGCUUAUACCAUACUUGUAACAUUCAAAGUGUGAGGAAGAUAUUAAUGGAGUUGAAUGUGAUCUUUUGGAUAUCCCAUUGGCUCUUUGUUAUGUCUUUGUCGUUUCUCGGC
rnacentral:lncRNA from 1 species